rnacentral:rRNA from 1 species
UACGUAGGGAGCAAGCGUUGUCCGGAUUUAUUGGGUGUAAAGGGUGCGUAGACGGGAAGGCAGGUUGGUUGUGAAAUCCCUCGGCUUAACUGAGGAACUGCAACCAAAACUAUCUUUCUUGAGUGCUGGAGAGGAAAGUGGAAUUCCUAGUGUAGCGGUGAAAUGCGUAGAUAUUAGGAGGAACACCAGUGGCGAAGGCGACUUUCUGGACAGUAACUGACGUUGAGGCACGAAAGUGUGGGGAGCAAACAGG